AUUAUUUUGGCAGAUAAGUGCAACGGAUUUAGAAUUCGUAUAUGUAGUAGUAUAUUUCUAUAAAUAGUA
rnacentral:tRNA from 1 species